AGCGAACGCUGGCGGCAGGCUUAACACAUGCAAGUCGAACGGGCUUCUUCGGAAGUCAGUGGCAGACGGGUGAGUAACACGUGGGAACGUGCCCUUCGGUUCGGAAUAACUCAGGGAAACUUGAGCUAAUACCGGAUACGCCCUUAUGGGGAAAGGUUUACUGCCGUAGGAUCGGCCCGCGUCUGAUUAGCUUGUUGGUGGGGUAACGGCCUACCAAGGCGACGAUCAGUAGCUGGUCUGAGAGGAUGAUCAGCCACACUGGGACUGAGACACGGCCCAGACUCCUACGGGAGGCAGCAGUGGGGAAUAUUGGACGAGGGGCGCAAGCCUGAUCCAGCCAUGCCGCGUGAGUGAUGAAGGCCUUAGGGUUGUAAAGCUCUUUUGUCCGGGACGAUAAUGACGGUACCGGAAGAAUAAGCCCCGGCUAACUUCGUG
rnacentral:rRNA from 1 species